rfam:Schistosoma mattheei strain Denwood, Zambia genome assembly, scaffold: SMTD_scaffold0000295
AUCCAGCUGAUGAAUGUGAAAUAGGACGAAACGCAUGUCAUGGAU